AAAGAUUUAUUAAAAAAAUAGAAUUAUUUUUAUCAUUUCUCAGUCACCACUUAAAGGAGACAGCAUAAGGAAUUCAUCUUAUUUCCAGUGGCAUUUCAAUAUUUAUGAAAUUUGAAAAUUUUAGCUGCAGUUCUGAUUCAUCGAUCGUCAAAGAAAGCAGAGAACAUAGGCUCUUCAAAAGGGGCAGGUUUGGGCAGAUUUGAAGACUGAUACUAAAACAGGAGCUGAAAAUAUAAUGGUGAACAAAACAGUUGGUUCCUGUUCUCACAGAACUUAAGGUUUAGUGAGGAAGAUAAAACCAAACAAGCAAGUAACAGAAGACCUGUCUGAGAUGUGGUGGUUUCAGCAAGGCCUCAGUUUCCUGCCCUCAGCCCUUGUCAUUUGGACGGCUGCUGCUUUCAUAUUUUCGUACAUUACUGCCAUCAUUCUCCACCAUGUUGACCCUGCGUUGCCUUAUAUCAGUGACACUGGUACCAUCGCUCCAGAAAAGUGCCUGUUUGGGGCAAUGUUAAAUUUCGCCGCAGUUUUAUGCGUUGCUACCAUUUAUGUUCGUUAUAAGCAAGUUCAGGCUCUGAAUCCCGAAGGGAAAUAUAUCUCCAAGUUAAACAAGGCUGGCUUCGUACUUGGAUUGCUGAGUUGUUUAGGACUUUCUUUUGUGGCAAAUUUCCAGAAAACAACCUUUUUUGCCGUGCAUAUAUGUGGAGCUGUUCUCACCUUUGGUAUGGGCUCAUUGUAUAUGUUUGUCCAGACCGCCCUUUCUUACCUAAUGCAGCCCAAAAUUCAUGGCAAACAGAUCUUCUGGGUCAGACUGCUGCUGGUCAUCUGGUGUGGAGUGAGCGCAUUUAGCAUGCUGACUUGCUCCUCACUCCUGUACAGUGGCCAUUUUGGCUCAGAUAUAGUACAGAAACUCCACUGGAACCCCGAGGAUAAAGGCUAUGUGCUUCACAUGAUUACUACCGCAGCAGAAUGGUCUAUGUCAUUUUCCUUCUUUGGUUUUUUCCUGACUUAUAUCCGUGAUUUUCAGAAAAUUUCUUUGCGAGUGGAAACCAAUUUACAUGGAUUAACCCUCUAUGACACUGUUCCUUGUCCUAUUAACAACGAGCAAUCACACCUACUUUCCAGAGAUAUAUGAUGAAAAGAUGAAACAUUUAUGCGACGAUUAUGAUUCUCAGGGAUUGGGAAAACGUUCAUAAGUUACUACUACUGAUCUGAAAUUUUCCACCAAUUAAUCAAGGCUGACAGUGACAUUGACGGGUCCUGAUAACCAAGAAUCAUGAAUAAAAAAGAAUGAUAUACAGAUUCCAGAUAAAAUUUAGAAGGAGAAAAUGCUCAUCGGGAAGAUGACCAUGACAAACUGAUUUGCAAAAGAAUCCUUGAAGAAGAUGAACAAGCUUUAUCUUUUUAGAAGAAAUGGGCCCACUGCCAGAAUAAAAGAUGGUGAGAACAAAUUUAAAGUGUCAGAGAAAGCAAUUUAAGGGAAAAUGGUUAUUUGGUGGAAACAGAGCUUGAUCAUGAGUAAGUUGCUAGAAUGGGACUAAAUAAUAUUUCUGAAGACUUUUUGACUAAAAAUAAAAUACUGUUUAUGUAUAUUAAGCAGCAGUGUAAGGGGGGGGGCAUUUCAGUAAACAUUGAUUGGCAUCAUGUGAAAAAAAUAUGGGUACAAAGCAUAAAAUUUUUUUUAUUAUAUUUCUGCAAAUCAUAGUGCGACCACACCUGGAAUACAGCAUCCAGUCCUGAUUGUUCUAUAUCAAGAAAACUAUAAUUCAGUUAUGAAGACCACAGUAUGGUGAGGGGGAAAUUGAUCGAAUCAAAGUUAAUAAAAUUAUAAAUUAUGUGUGGAUAAGAUGGCACAGGGGAGAAUGUGCACUUGUACGUCCAUACUGGAAUAUCAGGCUUAGAGAUAUACAUAACACAUUAAAUUAUUGUAAAAUAAAAAUAUUAGUUUGA